rnacentral:rRNA from 1 species
AGGACGAACGCUGGCGGCGUGCUUAACACAUGCAAGUGGAGCGACGAACCAGGGCUUGCCCUGGGGCAGAGCCGCGAACGGGUGAGUAACACGUGGGUAACCUGCCCAGAUGAUCGGGACAACCCGGGGAAACCCGGGCUAAUACCGAAUGUGCUCCUAGACCACCAGGUCUUUGAGUAAAGGAAGCUUCGGCCUCCGCAUCUGGAUGGGCCCGCGGCCCAUUAGCUUGUUGGUGGGGUAAUGGCCUACCAAGGCGACAAUGGGUAGCUGGUCUGAGAGGACGAUCAGCCACACUGGGACUGAGACACGGCCCAGACUCCUACGGGAGCAGCAGUGGGGAAUCUUGCGCAAUGCGCGAAAGCGUGACGCAGCAACGCCGCGGUGGGGGAAGAAGGCCUUCGGGUUACGUAAACCCUUUCGA